CCGGCGCGGAUAAACGCUGAAGGCAUCUAAGCGUGAAGCCGCCCUCAAGAUUAGAUUUCCCAUCACUAUAAGUGAGUAAGGUCCCUUGCAGACCACAAGGUAGAUAGGCGGAAGGUGUAAGUAUGGUAACAUACUCAGCUGAUCCGUACUAAUAGACCGAGGGCUUGUCCUU
rnacentral:rRNA from 1 species